rnacentral:tRNA from 1 species
AAUUCUUAGUACGAAAGGACCAGAAUUGUAAAAUAUUUUUUAUAAACUGAUUAAUAUUAACUAUUUUGGCAGAAAAGUGCCAUGAAUUUAGAAUUCAUAAAUGUAAGUUUGACUUACAGAUAGUAC